rnacentral:rRNA from 1 species
GGUUAAGCGACUAAGCGUACACGGUGGAUGCCCUGGCAGUCAGAGGCGAUGAAGGACGUGCUAAUCUGCGAUAAGCGCCGGUAAGGUGAUAUGAACCGUUAUAACCGGCGAUUUCCGAAUGGGGAAACCCAGUGUGAUUCGUCACACUAUCAUUAACUGAAUCCAUAGGUUAAUGAGGCGAACCGGGGGAACUGAAACAUCUAAGUACCCCGAGGAAAAGAAAUCAACCGAGAUUCCCCCAGUAGCGGCGAGCGAACGGGGAGGAGCCCAGAGCCUGAAUCAGCAUGUGUGUUAGUGGAAGCGUCUGGAAAGGCGCGCGAUACAGGGUGACAGCCCCGUACACAAAAGCGCAUGUGCUGUGAGCUCGAUGAGUAGGGCGGGACACGUGGUAUCCUGUCUGAAUAUGGGGGGACCAUCCUCCAAGGCUAAAUACUCCUGACUGACCGAUAGUGAACCAGUACCGUGAGGGAAAGGCGAAAAGAACCCCGGCGAGGGGAGUGAAAAAGAACCUGAAACCGUGUACGUACAAGCAGUGGGAGCACAGGUUUACCUGUGUGACUGCGUACCUUUUGUAUAAUGGGUCAGCGACUUAUAUUCUGUAGCAAGGUUAACCGUAUAGGGGAGCCGGAGGGAAACCGAGUCUUAACCGGGCGUUAAGUUGCAGGGUAUAGACCCGAAACCCGGUGAUCUAGCCAUGGGCAGGUUGAAGGUUGGGUAACACUAACUGGAGGACCGAACCGACUAAUGUUGAAAAAUUAGCGGAUGACCUGUGGCUGGGGGUGAAAGGCCAAUCAAACCGGGAGAUAGCUGGUUCUCCCCGAAAGCUAUUUAGGUAGCGCCUCGUGAAUUCAUCUCCGGGGGUAGAGCACUGUUUCGGCUAGGGGGCCAUCCCGGCUUACCAACCCGAUGCAAACUGCGAAUACCGGAGAAUGUUAUCACGGGAGACACACGGCGGGUGCUAACGUCCGUCGUGAAGAGGGAAACAACCCAGACCGCCAGCUAAGGUCCCAAAGUCAUGGUUAAGUGGGAAACGAUGUGGGAAGGCCCAGACAGCCAGGAUGUUGGCUUAGAAGCAGCCAUCAUUUAAAGAAAGCGUAAUAGCUCACUGGUCGAGUCGGCCUGCGCGGAAGAUGUAACGGGGCUAAACCAUGCACCGAAGCUGCGGCAGCGAACGUAUCACCCAAGACAACUUUACGGAGUUGACGAUUGACGGAGCGAAGCGACGUCAAAGCGUUCAUUAAAGUCGAGUUGGCUUAGGGAUACGUUCGUUGGGUAGGGGAGCGUUCUGUAAGCCUGUGAAGGUGUGUCGUGAGGCAUGCUGGAGGUAUCAGAAGUGCGAAUGCUGACAUAAGUAACGAUAAAGCGGGUGAAAAGCCCGCUCGCCGGAAGACCAAGGGUUCCUGUCCAACGUUAAUCGGGGCAGGGUGAGUCGACCCCUAAGGCGAGGCCGAAAGGCGUAGUCGAUGGGAAACGGGUUAAUAUUCCCGUACUUGGUGUUACUGCGAAGGGGGGACGGAGAAGGCUAUGUUGGCCGGGCGACGGUUGUCCCGGUUUAAGCGUGUAGGUGUGUGUUCCAGGUAAAUCCGGUUCACUUUAACACUGAGGCGUGACGACGAGGCACUACGGUGCUGAAGCAACAAAUGCCCUGCUUCCAGGAAAAGCCUCUAAGCAUCAGGUAACAUCAAAUCGUACCCCAAACCGACACAGGUGGUCAGGUAGAGAAUACCAAGGCGCUUGAGAGAACUCGGGUGAAGGAACUAGGCAAAAUGGUGCCGUAACUUCGGGAGAAGGCACGCUGACACGUAGGUGAAGUGAUUUACUCAUGGAGCUGAAGUCAGUCGAAGAUACCAGCUGGCUGCAACUGUUUAUUAAAAACACAGCACUGUGCAAACACGAAAGUGGACGUAUACGGUGUGACGCCUGCCCGGUGCCGGAAGGUUAAUUGAUGGGGUCAGCGCAAGCGAAGCUCCUGAUCGAAGCCCCGGUAAACGGCGGCCGUAACUAUAACGGUCCUAAGGUAGCGAAAUUCCUUGUCGGGUAAGUUCCGACCUGCACGAAUGGCGUAAUGAUGGCCAGGCUGUCUCCACCCGAGACUCAGUGAAAUUGAACUCGCUGUGAAGAUGCAGUGUACCCGCGGCAAGACGGAAAGACCCCGUGAACCUUUACUAUAGCUUGACACUGAACAUUGAGCCUUGAUGUGUAGGAUAGGUGGGAGGCUUUGAAGCGUGGACGCCAGUCUGCGUGGAGCCGACCUUGAAAUACCACCCUUUAAUGUUUGAUGUUCUAACGUGGACCCGUAAUCCGGGUUGCGGACAGUGUCUGGUGGGUAGUUUGACUGGGGCGGUCUCCUCCUAAAGAGUAACGGAGGAGCACGAAGGUUGGCUAAUCCUGGUCGGACAUCAGGAGGUUAGUGCAAUGGCAUAAGCCAGCUUGACUGCGAGCGUGACGGCGCGAGCAGGUGCGAAAGCAGGUCAUAGUGAUCCGGUGGUUCUGAAUGGAAGGGCCAUCGCUCAACGGAUAAAAGGUACUCCGGGGAUAACAGGCUGAUACCGCCCAAGAGUUCAUAUCGACGGCGGUGUUUGGCACCUCGAUGUCGGCUCAUCACAUCCUGGGGCUGAAGUAGGUCCCAAGGGUAUGGCUGUUCGCCAUUUAAAGUGGUACGCGAGCUGGGUUUAGAACGUCGUGAGACAGUUCGGUCCCUAUCUGCCGUGGGCGCUGGAGAACUGAGGGGGGCUGCUCCUAGUACGAGAGGACCGGAGUGGACGCAUCACUGGUGUUCGGGUUGUCAUGCCAAUGGCACUGCCCGGUAGCUAAAUGCGGAAAAGAUAAGUGCUGAAAGCAUCUAAGCACGAAACUUGCCCCGAGAUGAGUUCUCCCUGAGACCUAGAGUCUCCUGAAGGAACGUUGAAGACGACGACGUUGAUAGGCCGGGUGUGUAAGCGCAGCGAUGCGUUGAGCUAACCGGUACUAAUGAACCGUGAGGCUUAACCUU